GUAGGUGAACCUGCGGAAGGAUCAUUAUUGAAUUAUAAGGCUCGGAUUGUGCUGGCCUCUCGGGGCAUGUGCACGUCUCUGCCCGUUAAUCCCAACCCACCCCUGUGAACCAACCGUGUGAAGGCGCUCUGUAACGGAGCUGUCUCAUGCUUUAUUAUAAACCCUGUAUGUCAUCAGAAUGUAAAAUCUAUAUCCUCGCCUUAAAACCGCGUCGGUAAAAAAAAUUAAUACAACUUUCAACAACGGAUCU
rnacentral:misc_RNA from 1 species